rnacentral:rRNA from 1 species
UAGGGAAUCUUCGGCAAUGGGGGGAACCCUGACCGAGCAACGCCGCGUGAGUGAAGAAGGCUUUCGGAUCGUAAAGCUCUGUUGUUAAGGAAGAACGAGUGUGAGAAUGGAAAGUUCAUACUGUGACGGUACUUAACCAGAAAGGGACGGCUAACUACGUGCCAGCAGCCGCGGUAAUACGUAGGUCCCGAGCGUUGUCCGGAUUUAUUGGGCGUAAAGCGAGCGCAGGCGGUUAGAUAAGUCUGAAGUUAAAGGCAGUGGCUCAACCAUUGUAGGCUUUGGAAACUGUUGAGCUGGAGUGCAGAAGGGGAGAGUGGAAUUCCAGGUGUAGCGGUGAAAGGCGUAGAUAUAUGGAGGAACACCGGUGGCGAAGGCGGCUCUCUGGUCUGUAACUGACGCUGAGGCUCGAAAGCGUGGGGAGCGAACAGG